rnacentral:rRNA from 1 species
GACGAACGCUGGCGGCGUGCUUAACACAUGCAAGUCGAACGGAAAGGCCCUGCUUUUGUGGGGUGCUCGAGUGGCGAACGGGUGAGUAACACGUGAGUAACCUGCCCUUGACUUUGGGAUAACUUCAGGAAACUGGGGCUAAUACCGGAUAGGAGCUCCUGCUGCAUGGUGGGGGUUGGAAAGUUUCGGCGGUUGGGGAUGGACUCGCGGCUUAUCAGCUUGUUGGUGGGGUAGUGGCUUACCAAGGCUUUGACGGGUAGCCGGCCUGAGAGGGUGACCGGCCACAAUGGGAAUGAGACACGGCCCAGACUUCUACGGGAGGCAGGAGUUGGGAAUAUUGCCCAAUGGGGGGAAGGCUGAUGCAGCGACGCCGCGUGGGGGAUGAAGGCCUUCGGGUUGUAAACCGCUUUCGCCUGUGACGAAGCGUGAGUGGCGGUAAUGGGUAAAGAAGCACCGGCUAACUACGUG